rnacentral:lncRNA from 1 species
AAGCACGGUUGAAUGAGCAUCAACAUCAGUAGCACCCGGCUUUCCACUUGAUGUUAAGCCCCUAUCGUGGGGAUAGUGAAUUGGGUAACAUUCGAGAUUAGCUAAAAGCGAAAGGCCUCGCCUAUAUCUGCGGGAGCUACACAUGCAUCCUCACUAAUCCUCCUUAGCAGCGGGUAGAAGGCGUUCCACUCUACACCUUGGCAAAAAUGGGUCUUUGUCUCGCCAUGAAUUGAUCUUCCGUUUGGAGCACCUUCGCAAGACCAAUAGUCGGCCCAGCAAUAGCCAAUAAGCUGACUCCUCCUCUCUCAUCCUCUGUCACUCAUCACAGAAGUCAGUGUUUUCAUCUUGCUCCUCCACAUGGCUAGUGACACGGCGAGUACCCCAGGAGGUGUGGUCGCAUGGGAGGGGUCGGAGGCCGACCUGACAUGGAAGCCGGGUUGUUGGAGCACUCCUCAGCUAUAGAGGAGGGGCGUGGGUUAGGAGGCCUGCCUUGAAGCAAGACGCCCCGAUUGCUCAUGCCGGUGAGGGACUUAAGCUCUUUCUACUCAGCAACUAGUUCCUGAAAUAAGGUAAUGCGAUGCUCCAACUCAUCGAGGGGCAUAUCUUGAAGGCUGUCCGAAAGGGUUGAUGUUUGAAUUGUCCUCCACUUUAGGAAGGGCCCCAUCUUCUAGGGAAUAUUGUUUGGGGGCUAAGGAUGCUUUUCUAAUAGUGUUGUGAGAUUAGGUAACACAAACACUUAAACCAUCCUCUCUUCAAGAAAGAGGCGUGUAGGUGAAGCAUGUUGACCACUCUAGCAAGCGGGGGGAUGUUAGAGGAUUGGGAAUCUAAGGGUCUUGGUGGCUUCAGAAACUAAGUGAGAGGUGGGGGUCCUAGUGAAAUGUUUUGUUCCCUAGUCACUCUUUGUCAGUUGCUUGAGAAAAGAAUUUCGAUUCAAGUAAUCAAGAAGAAAAUACAAGCAAAUGCGAGGAAGAUGAAAAGGGAAGAGAAUGAGAAAGCUACGACCAUUGUGGAAAUCUAGACUACAUAAGGAAGGAUUUAAAGUCAAAGAAAAACAAGAGGCUAUUUUGUAAUAGGCUUUUAUCCAAGCUUACUUGAUGGAUAAGCUAUGACACUUCUAAAAGAAAGUGCGAUCUUGACAACUCAACUAUUGCAUCAAUGACACUAAACAUCGAAAAAGGAACAAUUUACACUAAGCAUGUAUUGAAAAUCAAAGCUAUUCUAUCCGCAUGCGAGAUCAUAAAUCACUUUCUCCCGCUACUCAGAUCACCACCCAUCCCCAAAUCAGUACCGUGCGAAGGUGGAUUAUUAGA